AGAGAAAGAGAGUGUGUAAUCAGAAAGCAAGCCGAAAAAGAACUCAUACACAUUCCUGAUUUUCUAGGAAGAUAACAUUAUGACAGUAUAUUCUAAAACAAUAUAAGAGCAUUAACAUGCAGAAAAUUUCUAGGAAAGAAUAGCAACACAAAUAAUCUUCACAGAAAAAAGCAAGUGCAGAUGAUGUUCACAGAGAACUACAAAUCAACAUGUUCCAUCCAAAAAGGAUCACCAUAGUCUUCUACAUGCCAUUAUGUUCACUAACUUACACCGAGCAAAAUCGCACGCGUUCUGCUACAGGGAGUGCAGAAGUAUGAUAUUGCACUAUUUAAUAACCAUAUGAUUGAGUUAGCUAGAGGUGUUAGUGAGGGUAUUUGCAAUAGGCCUAAUGACUAUAAAAAGGAAGUUGUAGCGAUCAUUUUCUGUUGAGUUGUAUUCGACUAUUGUGAUAAAUACAGAGAGCAUUUCCUUCAUCUUCUUUCCGUGUUGAUCUUUCUGCCAUUGUUUCUUUCUUCAAUCUUUCAGAGAUUCAUAGGUUAACAUGGUAUUUCAAUGUAGUUAACAUGGUAUCAGAGCCACUAGGCUCACGCCUUUAAUUCUGGUGGUUCCAUUUCCUUUUUUUUUUUUUUUUUUUUUUUUUCAUAUGUUUCUAGCUUAGUUUCUUUCCAAAUUUUCAUUAGAUAUUCGGUGCUUCCGCGAUUGUUCUUUGGGUCUUCUGAAGUUCACAGAAUCUUGUGCUGCUUCGUCGGUAAAAUUGUCCUCAAGAAUUGAUGUUUCGUCAAAAUCCGUCUUCAACCUUGGUUUUGAUAAGAGACAGCGAUCAUUCCCCUUUGAUUCAACUACCAGCGUGCAACGGCCCUGCUUCUGCUCAGCCGUCUUCUGGGACUUCGCGGCCUAUUUCGACGCAGAGGAAACAUUGGGGUUCGAAUUCUCAAUGUAUCUCAAGUUGUCGUGUUUCUUGGAUCGAGACCCAUGUUGGUUUUUCAUAGGAGUCACCGCUCCGGUGUUCUUGCCGAUUAAAUCCAUAGGAAUGUGACCGGAAAAAGAGAGAUUAUUUGCCGGACACAACUGGGUUUGUUGAGUUUAGAUAAGAAAAUCAAUGAGUGCCUGACCAAACCAUCUUUGUGGGUCCUCAAGGGAAGCCGAACUGCAACGUUUAGAGACAAACCCACCGCCAUUUCUCACUCGGGUUUUGCUCAGUCUUGGUUUUCUCAAUGCCAGUUCGUAGAUUGAUUCGCCAAGGUUUUUGGUUUGUUUCCUCUGCGUGCUUUGGCUCAAGAUUGAAGUUCUGAUCAGGUUAAUUCUUGAAGCAUGGCAGAUAUCUUGCUCUUGCAGUUCCAGAUCAAUCUCAAAUACCUAGCUAGUUCAAACUUCACUUGGAUACUCCAAGUUUAGUUUGAGGGGGGAGUAAUAGCCACAUGAUUGAGUUAGUUAGAGGCGUUAGUGAGGGUAUUUGGGUCUUUUGCAAUAGGCCUAAUGACUAUAAAAAGGAAGUUGUAGAGAUCAUUUUCUGUUGAGUUGUAUUCGACUAUUGUGAUAAAUACAGAGAGCAUUUCCUUCAUCUUCUUUCCUUGUUCA